rnacentral:pre_miRNA from 1 species
CAGGGCAGAAGCCGAGAGGACCUGUCGCCAUGUCCUCGCUGCUGACCAUGUUGGCUGGACGUCAGCGACUGUCCGCUUGG